AGCUCCAGUAGCGUAUAUUAAAGUUGUUGCAGUUAAAACGUUCGUAGUUGAGUUUCGGCAAUUGUCCAAAGCGCUCGGCAUGUUCCGGCGCUUGGCGUGGCCCGCAGCACGAUAGUGCUACAUUACCUUGAGGAAAUUAGAGUGUUCCUAGCAGGCUCAUGCCUGAAUAUCUCAGCAUGGAAUAAUAUCAGAACUUUUCUGUCUGCCUUAUUGGUUCGAGAUGGUGAAGUACGGUUAAUAGGAGCAGCUUCGGGGGCAUAUGUAUUCAACUGUCAGAGGUGAAAUUCUUGGAUUUGUUGAAGACGAACUACUGCGAAAGCAUUUGCCAAGGAUGUUUUCA
rnacentral:rRNA from 1 species